rnacentral:rRNA from 1 species
UGGAGCUUUAAACUUACACCACUGCUUUAAGAUACACCAAAUAACUUAAGCAAGUAUGGCUACAAGUCUUUCGGCUGGGGCGACCACGGAGAAAAACUAAACCUCCAUGAUGAAAAGAGUAAUCCUAAUCAAAGAGCUACUGCUCCAAGAAUCAACAAAUUGACAUAAUUGACCCAAACAUUUUGAUCAACGAACCAAGUUACCCUGGGGAUAACAGCGCAAUCCAUUUCAAGAGACCCCAUCGACAAAUG